CCUACGGGUGGCUGCAGUGAGGAAUAUUGGACAAUGGGCGCGAGCCUGAACCAGCCAUGUAGCGUGAAUGAUGACUGCCCUACGGUUUUUAAACUUCUUUUAUAAGGGAAUACGGUGUAGCACGUGUGCCUUUGUGCAUGUACUUUAUGAGUAAAGAUCGGCUAACUCCGUGCCAGCAGCCGCGGUAAUACGGUGGAUACGAGCGCAAUCCGGAUUUAUUGGGUUUAAAGUGAACGUAGAUGGGUUGUUAAGUCAGUUGUGAAGGUGAGGGGCUCAACCGUACAAUUGCAAUUGAUACUGGCAGUCUUGAGUACAGUUGAGGUAGGCGGAAUUCGUGGUGUAGCGGUGAAAUGCUUAGAGA
rnacentral:rRNA from 1 species